rnacentral:lncRNA from 1 species
ACUCUAGUGGCAAAACUGCUGGCUAGUGUACCUGUUCUGCCAAAAGUAAAAUGGGCUUACUGAGGAAAUUAAAUUUAUGUUCAAGUGCUAUUUCUUUAUGCACCGGGGAACAAGCAUUUCUAACAACCUGGUCCUACGUGGCUGAAACUGGAUCCCAGAAGCCCCGUCCUUCCCGAAGCUCGUAGCGGAAGUGACAUCAGCCCGCCGCCACUAUCUUUUCCCGCGCUGGCUGCCCACGGUCAGUGCUGUUUCACCUUUAUCUUGGUGGAGUCGACCCCGGCUGUGGAAAAGGAUUUCUGCCAUUCUGGUAAGGUUGGCUCUGGCCCCGCAUCCUCCCGCGUCAGGAACCUGGCGAUUCCGGAGUGUUCUUGGACUUCAAAUAACCCUGUACAAAGAGGAAUGGAGAUUGCCUCUAUUCACCUAGAUUCAUAAGUUGCCCUGAGGCAAUCUUGGCAUCAAGGAAGAGAGCAUUGAGGCACAACUGACCAUCAGCUUCAGAGAAUGGCAGUCACUGAUUUGUCCCAUGACAAGAAGCUACAGUGGAUGGAAACUCUGAGAAUUGUGGAGAGGUCUUCAGUGAAUGGUUUUGCCUUAAAACACACAUGAGAGCUCAGAAUGGAGGGAACAUCUUUGAGGGUAAUUGUUAUGGAAAAGACAUCCUCAGUGUGCACAAGGAAGCCUCUAUUGGACAGGAACUUUCCAAAUUUAAUCCAUGUGGAAAAGUCUUCACCUUAACUCCAGAUCUUGCUGCACAUCUUGGAAUUCUCAAUGCAAGACAACCAUACAAAUGUAAGGAAUGUAGAAAAGGCUUUAAGUAUUUUGCAAGCCUUGAUAAUCACAUGGGAAUCCACAUUGGAGAGAAAUUCUGUGAAUUUCAGGAAUGUAGGAGAGCCAUCACUCAUUCCUCACACCUAAAGCAGUGUGUAACAGUUCAUACUGGAAAGAAAUCUAAAAAGACUAAGAAACAUGGGAAAUCCUUCACUAAUUUUUCUCAACUUUCUGCACAUGUGAAAAUUCAUAAAGGAGAGAAGUCCUUUGAAUGUAAAGAAUGUGGAAGAUCCUUUAGAAAUUCCUCAUCCUUUAAUGUUCACAUUCAAAUUCACACUGGAAUAAAACCACACAAAUAUACGGAAUGUGGGAAAGCCUUCACUAGGUCAACUCACCUUACUCAACAUGUAAGAACUCACACUGGAAUAAAACCCUAUGAAUGUAA